GGAUUGACAGAUUUGAGAGCGGAUUGGGCGGAGAUGCACUCCCUCGGCUGCUUACCUCCAACAGGUCUCAUAUCUACACCUUUAGUCCCAUGGAUCUUUUGGUCCCUGUGGAAAGCACGCAACAAGUGGGUAUUUGAAAAAUUUGCUGGGAAUCCAGCUGAUGUACUAUCUCAAGCCAUUACCGCAGCUAAAGAAUGGGAAGGGGCGCAGGUUCAAGUGGAGAAGCGAGUGCUGGUAAGACCAUUGGAGCCUACUGCUCGGACUGACUCCGUCGCACAGUCGGAUGCUGC
rnacentral:lncRNA from 1 species